UACGGGGGGGGCAAGCGUUGUUCGGAAUUACUGGGCGUAAAGGGCUCGUAGGUGGCCAACUAAGUCGGACGUGAAAUCCCUCGGCUUAACCGGGGAACUGCGUCCGAUACUGGAUGGCUUGAGUUCGGGAGAGGGAUGCGGAAUUCCAGGUGUAGCGGUGAAAUGCGUAGAUAUCUGGAGGAACACCGGUGGCGAAGGCGGCAUCCUGGACCGACACUGACGCUGAGGAGCGAAAGCCAGGGAGCAAAGCGGG
rnacentral:rRNA from 1 species